ACUCAAAUGAAUUGACGGAAGUUUGAACAAGCGGUGGAGCAUCUGGUUUAAUGCGAUAUAACGCGCAAAACCUUACCAGUCUUUGAAUAUUUUUUGUAUCUUUUAUAGAGAAAGGUGCAUGAAAUUUGGUUGAUUUUCAAAAUUUUGUGUGAAAAUACAGGUGCUGCAUGGCUGUCGUAAGCUCGUGUAGUGAUAUGUUUGGUUAACUCCGUUAACGAGCGCAACCCUCGCUUUUAGUUGUUUUCUAAAGGGACUGCCUGUGCGAUGCAGGAGGAAGGUGAGGACGAUGUCAAGUCAGUAUGGCCUUGAUAGACUGGGCUACACAGGUGCUACAAUGGUGAAAACAAAGGGUAGCAAGAACGCAAGUUGGUGCAAAUCUCAAAAAAAUCAUCUAAGUUCAGAUUGUCCUCUGCAACUCGAGGGCAUGAAGGCGGAAUCGCUAGUAAUCGUAGAACAGCAUGCUACGGUGAAUCUGUGACCAAACUUAGUACACACCGCCCGU
rnacentral:rRNA from 1 species